UAUAGACGCGGGUGACAACCAAUUUGGUUCUUCCUGAGGAGCUAUGAUUCUCUGGCUGUAUAAAUGUCUGUGCCUCUGCGCCCCUUUCUUUGCGUAUUCUUCUUCAUCCUCUGCUCUGCUCUUCUUCUCACAUACUCUCAGUCUCUGUGGGGCUUUUCCUUGCUCGGGCGCAAAUGGACAACGCGACGUCGCCCGAUUCGUCUUCCUCGACUGUCAAGUGCUCCAUCUGCAUGGACGACGUCUCCGAUGACUGUGGCCGUACGGUCGUCAGGCUUCGCUGCUCUCACUCGUUUCAUCUCGAUUGCAUCGGUUCUGCAUUCAAUGUAAAAGGUGUCAUGGAAUGCCCGAAUUGCCGUGAGAUUGAGAAUGGUGUAUGGAGGUGUUUUGAGAAUGGUAGCCCUG